rnacentral:rRNA from 1 species
AUUGAACGCUGGCGGCAUGCCUUACACAAGCAAGUCGAACGGCAGCACGGGUGCUUGCACCUGGUGGCGAGUGGCGAACGGGUGAGUAAUACAUCGGAACGUACCUUAUCGUGGGGGAUAACGCAGCGAAAGCUGUGCUAAUACCGCAUACGCCCUGAGGGGGCAAGCGGGGGAUCGCAAGACCUCGCGCGAUUAGAGCGGCCGAUGCCUGAUUAGCUAGUUGGUGGGGUAAAAGCCCACCAAGGCGACGAUCAGUAGCUGGUCUGAGAGGACGAUCAGCCACACUGGGACUGAGACACGGCCCAGACUCCUACGGGAGGCAGCAGUGGGGAAUUUUGGACAAUGGGGGCAACCCUGAUCCAGCAAUGCCGCGUGAGUGAAGAAGGCCUUCGGGUUGUAAAGCUCUUUUGUCAGGGAAGAAACACCGGCUCUAACACAGUCCGGGAAUGACGGUACCUGAAGAAUAAGCACCGGCUAACUACGUGCCAGCAGCCGCGGUAA